rnacentral:rRNA from 1 species
AGAGUUUGAUCAUGGCUCAGGACGAACGCUGGCGGCGUGCUUAACGCAUGCAAGUCGAACGGAAAGGCCCUUCGGGGUACUCGAGUGGCGAACGGGUGAGUAACACGUGGGUGAUCUGCCCUGCACUUUGGGAUAAGCCUGGGAAACUGGGUCUAAUACCGAAUAUGACCACGCUCUUCAUGGGGUGUGGUGGAAAGCUUUUGCGGUGUGGGAUGGGCCCGCGGCCUAUCAGCUUGUUGGUGGGGUAAUGGCCUACCAAGGCGACGACGGGUAGCCGGCCUGAGAGGACGAUCAGCCACACUGGCACUGCGACACGGGCCAGACUCCUACGGGAGGCAGCAGUAAGGAAUAUUGCGCAAUGGACGAAAGUCUGACGCAGCGACGCCGCGUGGGGGAUGAAGGUCUUCGGAUUGUAAACCCCUUUCGGGAGGGAAGAUGGAGUGGGUAACCACUUGGACGGUACCUCCAGAAGCAGCCACGGCUAACUUCGUGCCAGCAGCCGCGGUAAUACGAAGGUGGCAAGCGUUGUUCGGAUUCACUGGGCGUACAGGGAGCGUAGGCGGUUGGGUAAGCCCUCCGUGAAAUCUCCGGGCCUAACCCGGAAAGUGCAGAGGGGACUGCUCAGCUAGAGGAUGGGAGAGGAGCGCGGAAUUCCCGGUGUAGCGGUGAAAUGCGUAGAGAUCGGGAGGAAGGCCGGUGGCGAAGGCGGCGCUCUGGAACAUUUCUGACGCUGAGGCUCGAAAGCGUGGGGAGCAAACAGGAUUAGAUACCCUGGUAGUCCAA